rnacentral:rRNA from 1 species
GACGAACGCUGGAGGCGUGCUUAACACAUGCAAGUCGAACGAUGAAAUGGAGCUUGCUCCAUGGAUUAGUGGCGAACGGGUGAGUAACACGUGAAUAACCUGCCCUUAAUUUUGGAAUAACUCAGGGAAACCUGGGCUAAUACCGGAUAAGUAAACCUGUGGCAUCAAAUGGUUUUGGAAGGUUAUUCGAUUAAGGAUGGAUUCGCGGCCUAUUAGCUUGUUGGUGAGGUAAUGGCUCACCAAGGCGACGACGGGUAGCCGGCCUGAGAGGGGGAACGGCCACACUGGGACUGAGACACGGCCCAGACUCCUACGGGAGGCAGCAGUGGGGAAUAUUGCGCAAUGGACGAAAGUCUGACGCAGCGACGCCUCGUGAGGGACGAAGGUCUUCGGAUUGUAAACCUCUUUCAGCAGGGACGAAGCGAAAGUGACGGUACCUGCAGAAGAAGCACCGGCUAACUAUGUGCCAGCCGCCGCCGUAA